GACGAACGCUGGCGGCGUGCUUAACACAUGCAAGUCGAACGGAAAGGCCUGCUUUCCCUUGUGGAUUGCGGGUACUCGAGUGGCGAACGGGUGAGUAACACGUGAGUGAUCUGCCCCCAACUUGGGUAUAAGUCUGGGAAACUGGGUCUAAUUCCCGAUAGGACUGCAGGGUGGUGCCUGUGGUGGAAAACGAUUUUCUAGUGGUUGGGGAUGAGCUCGCGGCCUAUCAGCUUGUUGGUGGGGUAAUGGCCUACCAAGGCGGCGACGGGUAGCCGGCCUGGGAGGGUGGACGGCCACAUUGGGACUGAGAUACGGCCCAGACUCCUACGGGAGGCAGCAGUGGGGAAGAUUGCACAAUGGGCGGAAGCCUGAUGCAGCGACGCCGCGUGGGGGAUGACGGACUUCGGGUGGUAAACUCCUUUCGACCGCGAGGAAGCCACCUGGUUGGAAGGGUGGUGACGGUAGUGGUAGAAGAAGCACCGGCUAACUACGUG
rnacentral:rRNA from 1 species